rnacentral:rRNA from 1 species
GACGAACGCUGGCGGCGUGCUUAACACAUGCAAGUCGAACGGAAAGGCCCUGCUUUUGUGGGGUGCUCGAGUGGCGAACGGGUGAGUAACACGUGAGUAACCUGCCCUUGACUUUGGGAUAACUUCAGGAAACUGGGGCUAAUACCGGAUAGGAGCUCCUGCUGCAUGGUGGGGGUUGGAAAGUUUCGGCGGUUGGGGAUGGACUGGCGGCUUAUCAGCUUGUUGGUGGGGUAGUGGCUUACCAAGGCUUUGACGGGUAGCCGGCCUGAGAGGGUGACCGGCCACAUUGGGACGGAGAUACGGCCCAGACUCCUACGGGAGGCAGCAGUGGGGAAUAUUGCACAAUGGGCGGAAGCCUGAUGCAGCAACGCCGCGUGCGGGAUGACGGCCUUCGGGUUGUAAACCGCUUUCGCCUGUGACGAAGCGUGAGUGACGGUAAUGGGUAAAGAAGCACCGGCUAACUACGUG